rnacentral:tRNA from 1 species
GGACAGAUAGCUCAGCUGGUAGAGCGAAGGACUGAAAAUCCUUAGGUCCCCGGUUCAAUCCCGGGUCUGUCCA